rnacentral:rRNA from 1 species
GAUGAACGCUGGCGGCGUGCCUAAUACAUGCAAGUCGAGCGAAUGGAUCAAGAGCUUGCUCUUAUGAAGUUAGUGGCGGACGGGUGAGUAACACGUGGGUAACCUGCCCAUAAGACUGGGAUAACUCCGGGAAACCGGGGCUAAUACCGGAUAACAUUUUGAACCGCAUGGUUCGAAAUUGAAAGGCGGCUUCGGCUGUCACUUCUGGAUGGACCCGCGUCGCAUUAGCUAGUUGGUGAGGUAACGGCUCACCAAGGCAACGAUGCGUAGCCGACCUGAGAGGGUGAUCGGCCACACUGGGACUGAGACACGGCCCAGACUCCUACGGGAGGCAGCAGUAGGGAAUCUUCCGCAAUGGACGAAAGUCUGACGGAGCAACGCCGCGUGAGUGAUGAAGGCUUUCGGGUCGUAAAACUCUGUUGUUAGGGAAGAACAAGUGCUAGUUGAAUAAGCUGGCACCUUGACGGUACCUAACCAGAGAGCCACGGCUAACUACGUGCCAGCCGCCGCAGUAA